GGGGUUAUGGCCAAGCUGGGAAGGCGUCCGUCUGAAGUGAAUUCAGACCUCAAUCUUGUUAACGGAAGAUCCCCGGUUCGAACCCGGGUGACCCCA